CUAAUAUACGCAACAACAGGCGCAAAACUAUUCUACCAAGCAUUAAAAAAAAGAGACAAAAUGCACAUUUGUGCUGAGGAAAGUAAUAAAAAAUUAUCCUAUAGGUUUUAUGAAACUGUUUUAUUUAUGUGCAAUAAUUUUUUAAGUUUGACAGAUGACAAUAUUGUUUUUAUAAGAUCCGAUAGUUGCCGAUGUAUUGCUAAAUGUUUGAAGAAAUUCGUGUAUUCGCCACUGUUCGCGCUGCAACAAAAGAUAUUUGCUGAAGAGUGCCUUUUCUAGAGUUCGAAAGGCGGUAACUUACGCCAGGAACACCAAAAACUUACCGAUUCAGUAAUUGAUCCACCAUCUCACGCACAGCAAUUUGCGGCACGACGUGCAGCAGAACUAUCUGCUCCACGUAAACAUGAUACAGACGCAGACAAUUAUCAUCCAAUCAUUGAAAUUUAUAAUAUUGAACAUCGCGCUACUUUAGAAAAUUCACCCCGAGAAAUGUAUAUAACAGUGGAGUAUGGUUACGUCGGAUUAGAUGAGAACCACGAGUACGUCCUUGGAAUAUACCCACCAUAUGUACCUUCUUUGCGGCCAUUCAUGGCUCGUAGAGCGGAUCUUGGAAAUAGAUUUGGAAUAGUUAAAGUAAAGUUGGAAGGCAACGUUGCCAGACAGGUUGUACCAAUAACGUCUACCGAGGAUCCUGCGUAUCAUCAUUACCACAAGAAGGGCAACCGAGUUAACGUUGUUCGUGCCAGGUUUCACUAAACAGAUAUGAUGCUGUGCUCGGUAGAGUGGCCAUCACUGGGUCGAAAUUCGUUUCAAACUACC